AACGAACGCUGGCGGCAUGCCUAACACAUGCAAGUCGAACGAUACCUUCGGGUCGAGUGGCGCACGGUUGCGUAACGCGUGGUAACCUGCCCUUAGGUUCGGAAUAACUCCCCGAAAGGGGUGCUAAUACCGGAUAAUGUCUUCGGACCAAAGAUUUAUCGCCUGUGGAUGGGCCCGCGUUGGAUUAGCUAGUUGGUAGGGUAAAAGCCUACCAAGGCUACGAUCCAUAGCUGGUCUGAGAGGAUGAUCAGCCACACUGGGACUGAGACACGGCCCAGAAUCCUACGGGAGGCAGCAGUGGGGAAUAUUGGAAAAUGGGCGAAAGCCUGAUCCAGCAAUGCCGCGUGAGUGAUGAAGGCCUUAGGGUUGUAAAGCUCUUUUACCCGGGAUGAUAAUGACAGUACCGGGAGAAUAAGCUCCGGCUAACUCCGUG
rnacentral:rRNA from 1 species